GUUCCCUCCGAAGUUUCCCUC
rnacentral:ncRNA from 3 species